rnacentral:rRNA from 1 species
UGCAGUCGAGCGAACUGAUUAGAAGCUUGCUUCUAUGACGUUAGCGGCGGACGGGUGAGUAACACGUGGGCAACCUGCCUGUAAGACUGGGAUAACUUCGGGAAACCGAAGCUAAUACCGGAUAGGAUCUUCUCCUUCAUGGGAGAUGAUUGAAAGAUGGUUUCGGCUAUCACUUACAGAUGGGCCCGCGGUGCAUUAGCUAGUUGGUGAGGUAACGGCUCACCAAGGCAACGAUGCAUAGCCGACCUGAGAGGGUGAUCGGCCACACUGGGACUGAGACACGGCCCAGACUCCUACGGGAGGCAGCAGUAGGGAAUCUUCCGCAAUGGACGAAAGUCUGACGGAGCAACGCCGCGUGAGUGAUGAAGGCUUUCGGGUCGUAAAACUCUGUUGUUAGGGAAGAACAAGUACGAGAGUAACUGCUCGUACCUUGACGGUACCUAACCAGAAAGCCACGGCUAACUACGUGCCAGCAGCCGCGGUAAUACGUAGGUGGCAAGCGUUAUCCGGAAUUAUUGGGCGUAAAGCGCGCGCAGGCGGUUUCUUAAGUCUGAUGUGAAAGCCCACGGCUCAACCGUGGAGGGUCAUUGGAAACUGGGG